rnacentral:lncRNA from 1 species
GAAAGGGGCUGAUCAGGACUGGUGAGAGGGCCCCCCAGGAGAGGGCAGAGGUGGUUGUCCCCACCCCUUCUGCAGCAGUUGCCCCAGGCACCUGUUCGACAUUGGUGUCUGAGACAGUGUUGCUACUGCUGAGGGAACAUCACCCUGGCUCACCUCCAUCUUUCAAAAUAUGGCAAGCUGCACAAAUCGCGGAGGCCUCCCAGAGAAACACAGCUCCUCCAAGGUGUCAAGCCACGCCCAAAUGAUCCAAAAAGCAGUUGAUUUUUUAGACCUUUUAAUCGGCCACCUGAGCAAAUUCUCACCAGUUUUGAUAGUUUUCCAGUUUAGUCCCUUGGGUUUUCUAGUUAGACAGUCAUCUGCAGAUAAUGUUCAAUUUUUGUCCUUUGCCCCCUCCCUCAUUCUACCAAGUGGCACAGGAAAUUGGUUGGUUUGGUGAUGCUGUUUAGCUUUAAUAGAAACCCCCAGCCCCUGGAGGGGCUGGAUUCCUUUGGGAGCAGUGUUCCAUUCCAUUAAGCUUCCUUGCAGGGUGGGGCCCACUCCAUGAAGACAGCAGUCAUGCCUUAAGAAGCAGAGCUACCUUACGUGCCUGCCCAGGCUGUUCCUGCCUAAAUCUCCAGCCCUGCAUGCCGUCUCAAGGGUGGGCCCCAGAGAGUUUGGAGUGUAGGAUUCCCUCUGUGAAGGAAUCAUCUCUACUUCUCUGAGGACAAUUAGGGUAUCCUUGGCUGCUUUACUGUGGUGGCCGAAGAGCUGGAAUUGCCUUUGUUGAGAGUUGUGUUCACUAUCAGUGGUCGUGUACCUUCUCCACCUGCCCCCAGGAAAAAGAGUCUCCCCCUUAAAUUUCCUGGUACCCCCUCACCUAUGCCUGAAAGCAUUUCACCCUCUCAAUGCCUCACCUUUCCCAUUCGCCAGAUGGAACCAUCAGUAUUCCUCUCCUGGUACCGCAAGGCCUCCUGGAUCCAAAGCACCAUGUCAGUAUUAUUUGUUGGUCCUUUUUGUGCCUUUCUUGACCUGGAGGGGGAGGCAGGAGGAUUGCUGUCAGCCUAGUUUCUUUCUGGGAAUAUGGCUCCCUAGUGUUGGAAAGGGCAGUGCCUCGUGGACAGAUGGUCAUUUAGCCUCUGGGGUGAAAUACUUGCAAUACCAGGUCACUCUGUGGUCCAAAAGGUCACAUUCAGUUGUCAUCAGGCAACUUUAACCCUUAGAGUGCUUCCCUUCCAUUAAGCUGAAAUUGCCCCACGGCCAUAUCCACCCAUUGACUCUGCCUUCAUCAAGGAAGGUGGGAAGUAAAACAUCACUUUUUACAUUAAACCAGGAUCAGGAAUAAAAUGUUACCAAAAAAAAAAAAUGGAAACAGGGUAGAGAACUGCUACAUUAAACAUAUUUCAUAUAU